rnacentral:rRNA from 1 species
AACGUAGGGGGCAAGCGUUGUCCGGAUUUAUUGGGCGUAAAGAGCGUGUAGGCGGCUAAAUAGGUCCGUUGUGAAAACUCGAGGCUCAACCUCGAGAUGCCGAUGGAAACCAUUUGGCUAGAGUCCGGAAGAGGAGAGUGGAAUUCCCGGUGUAGCGGUGAAAUGCGCAGAUAUCGGGAAGAACACCCGUGGCUAAGGCGGCUCUCUAGUACGGUACUGACGCUGAGACGCGAAAGCGUGGGUAGCAAACAGG